rnacentral:misc_RNA from 1 species
GAAAUGCGAUACGUAAUGUGAAUUGCAGAAUUCAGUGAAUCAUCGAAUCUUUGAACGCACCUUGCACUCUUUGGUAUUCCGAAGAGUAUGUCUGUUUGAGUGUCAUGAAACUCUCAACCCCCUCAUUUUGUAAUGAAGUGAGUCGUGGGCUUGGAUUAUGGCUGUCUGUCGGCUUCAUUGCCGGCUCAGCUGAAAUACACGAGUAACCCAGUUUGAAAAACUGACGGCUUGACUCGGCGUAAUAAUUAUUAUCGCUGAGGACGUCUAACCUUCAAAUCGUUAGUGGUGCUUCUAAUGCAAAUCAUUUUAAGAUUUAGACCUCAAAUCAGUCAGGAUUACCCGCUGAACUUAA